CAGCCGCCGCGGUAAUACGUAGGUGGCAAGCGUUGUCCGGAAUUAUUGGGCGUAAAGGGCUCGCAGGCGGUUUCUUAAGUCUGAUGUGAAAGCCCCCGGCUCAACCGGGGAGGGUCAUCGGAAACUGGAAAACUUGAGUGCAGAAGAGGAGAGUGGAAUUCCACGUGUAGCGGUGAAAUGCGUAGAGAUGUGGAGGAACACCAGUGGCGAAGGCGACUCUCUGGUCUGUAACUGACGCUGAGGAGCGAAAGCGUGGGGAGCGAACAGGAUUAGAUACCCCUGUAGUCCCUGUCUCUUAUAC
rnacentral:rRNA from 1 species